rnacentral:rRNA from 1 species
UACGGGGGGGGCAAGCGUUGUCCGGAAUCAUUGGGCGUAAAGCGCGUGUAGGCGGCCUUGUAAGUCCGUUCUGAAAGUCCGGGGCUCAACCCCGGGAGGCGGAUGGAUACUGCAAGGCUCGAGUCCGGAAGAGGCAAGUGGAAUUCCCGGUGUAGCGGUGAAAUGCGCAGAUAUCGGGAGGAACACCAAUGGCGAAGGCAGCCUUCUGGGCCAACACUGACGCUCAUGCACGAAAGCGUGGGGAGCAAACAGG